rnacentral:sRNA from 1 species
CCUGUGUCUGACUUCUUGCUUUGAUGUUCUCUUUUAGGGUCCAGAUAAUUUUUUUUUUUAGAAAAGAAAUGUAGAGUGAAGGUGACAGCCUUUGAUUAUAGUAGUAAAGAUGAUCCAAAUAGUUUGUAUAAUAAAUACUUGGACACAUGAAUCUGUAUUUGAAAUUUGAAACCAUCCUAAUAAUAUAGCCAAAAAAAAAAAAAAAGCUCCAGCGUCCUCUCCUCACGCUUUCCUUGGCUUUGAGCAGGGAGAAGAGCCUGCUGAGUGCAGUGAGGCCGGUCUCCUGCAGGAGGGAGUACAGCCAGAGGAGUUUGUGGCCAUCGCGGACUACGCUGCCACCGAUGAGACCCAGCUCAGUUUUUUGAGAGGAGAAAAAAUUCUUAUCCUGAGACAAACCACUGCAGAUUGGUGGUGGGGUGAGCGUGCGGGCUGCUGUGGGUACAUUCCGGCAAACCAUGUGGGGAAGCAUGUGGAUGAGUACGACCCCGAGGACACGUGGCAGGAUGAAGAGUACUUCGGCAGCUAUGGAACUCUGAAACUCCACUUGGAAAUGUUGGCAGACCAGCCACGAACAACUAAAUACCACAGUGUCAUCCUGCAGAAUAAAGAAUCCCUGACGGAUAAAGUCAUCCUGGAUGUGGGCUGUGGGACUGGGAUCAUCAGUCUCUUCUGUGCACACUAUGCGCGGCCUAAAGCGGUGUACGCGGUGGAGGCCAGUGAGAUGGCACAGCACACGGGGCAGCUGGUCCUGCAGAACGGCUUUGCCGACAUCAUCACCGUGUACCAGCAGAAGGUGGAGGAUGUGGUGCUGCCCGAGAAGGUGGACGUGCUGGUGUCUGAGUGGAUGGGGACCUGCCUGCUGGUGAGGGCGGGCGUGCGGGCAGCUGGGGGCCCGAGAAGGUGGACGUGCUGGUGUCUGAGUGGAUGGGGACCUGCCUGCUGUUUGAGUUCAUGAUCGAGUCCAUCCUGUAUGCCCGGGAUGCCUGGCUGAAGGAGGACGGGGUCAUUUGGCCCACCAUGGCUGCGUUGCACCUUGUGCCCUGCAGUGCUGAUAAGGAUUAUCGUAGCAAGGUGCUCUUCUGGGACAACGCGUACGAGUUCAACCUGAGCGCUCUGAAAUCUUUAGCAGUUAAGGAGUUUUUUUCAAAGCCCAAGUAUAACCACAUUUUGAAACCAGAAGACUGUCUCUCUGAACCGUGCACUAUAUUGCAGUUGGACAUGAGAACCGUGCAAAUUUCUGAUCUAGAGGUGAGAAAAAGAUGAAUUGCUCCUUACAUUCGAUAAUCAGUGACCACGAAACACUCAGACCAGAGCCUGGCUUAUCAAAAACCUUCAGUGAGUGCUGGGGGUGUGAGUGAAUAACUAAUUAUUUUAUUAUACAAAUAAGUGAAUGUGUAAAACGUUUGCUACUGAUUUUUUCCAGUCUUUUUUCUUUUUUACGUUCUUUUUUGAUUCUUUCAUAUUGUACACCAUUUUAUGUCUCCAGCGUCUUCAUUUUAGAUUUAUGUUUAAUAUUCUCAGCAUCUUCAAAAUCAAAUAAAUUAUAUUUCGUUUCA